rnacentral:tRNA from 1 species
GGAGCUUUAAGUUAUGUAAACUACUACCCUUCAAAGGUAGAAAAGAGUAUUCAAGCUUUA